CCUACUCAUCUGAGAAAGGAGUCGCGGCAGGAAAUUUAUAGUUUGUGAGAGCGGGAGAGUUAUUUCGGCUAAAUUAAUGCAAUUUCUUGUGUAAAAAAAACGUUAACCAUGUGUGUUAUAGAUCCAUCCUUGUCUAGGGGAGUGCUAACCGUCUCUCCUUUCAUACAACACAAAAGAGUGCUUCCGUUAUUCGGUAUAUCUACAAACAGUAUCUAGAAGACCACAUGUGAGAGCUACCUACAGAGAUUCAUGGUAAAUGGGCAACAGUUACAGCUACAACUAAAAAUUACCGAAACUAUUACAUAGAAGCGGCACACUUCGAAAGAAAUUUGAGUGCCGGGACGUUUUCAUGAUGAGUCCGACUAUGUAAUAGGUAGGCAACACGUCAGGCCCAUUAUAAAGAAAGGUGGAGAAAAGAACAGAUGCCAGAAAGCUGGAGAAUGCUCUCAUAAUUUCCUUGUACAAAAAACACAUAUAUUUACUUGAUGCAAAGA